rnacentral:lncRNA from 1 species
AUUAAAUAUGAAAACUAUUGAUCAUGGCUUAAAGAAAGCAAUUGUAGGCCUGUGACGACCUUCAAUAAUGAGAAAAUCCGUACCCUAUAGUCAAAGUAGGCAGCUAUAAAAGACCCUCAGAUGAAAAAUUGAAACAAUCAAAACUGUCAAACUAAUUGCCUAGUUUAUAACAAAAUAAAUUACAAAAAAAUAAAUAUGAACAGUAUGAAACAACAACAACAACC